GUAUUUUAAACCAGGAAAAACUACACGAGAGCGUUGCAUAAACAUGAAGAACUGUUCUGUUUUGGGUUUAUGAUAGAGAUAAGCAUAAGUUAGUAGAUUUGGUAGGAGUAGAUAUUGGAGAUAAGGGUAGGAUUAGGGUAAUUAAUGAAGAUUAGGUGCAAAACGGCUAAAAAGAUUAACAUGGUGGAGCUUGGAGCCCACGUCUUCUCCGUACAGGCAGCCCUCUCUAUCUCAUCUUUCCACGUACAUUUUCCACUCUCUCUUUCCCCUUUUUUCAAGCUUCAUAAUUAAUUUCAUUUAGAUUAACAAUUUCAUUAAUCUGUUAUUUUCAAAGGAAAAUGGAAACAUAACACUUUGUUUGUUUUGUUUUUUAUAUAUAUUUGUAAAGAUAAAACUAGCUU
rnacentral:sRNA from 1 species